CUUGACCUAAUUUUCCUUACGGCGGCUGCGGCAAUUUUUUCACCUUCUCUGGACUGGUUUGGAUUUGACGUGGCUGGGAGAGACUUUCGGUUUUAUUUACCUUUGUUAGGCAACAUGCAGAAUGAAAGAAGUUGGAUGUAUAAUAAAAAUUUACCUGACCGUGGGGGUUUAACUGAUGAGUUUAUUACUGGGUUGAGACAGUUUUUAAAUUUUGCAUCUAGUAAUGUUGAGUUUAUGGAUGGUAAUCAGAUACGAUGUCCAUGCAGAAAGUGUCAUAAUGGAAAAUUUUUACCAUCUAAUAAAGUUUCAGAGCAUCUUUGUAGAUUUGGUU